UUUUCCUUCAUUUCUCACCUCCGUGCCCUAGCCAUCCUCGCGCCGAGCCUUUCCCUUCGUCUCCCAACCCGACGCCGCCUCUCCCUCACGCGACGCCGAGCCACCGCCGCCUUCUUCCUCCCGAUCUCCUCUCCCGACGCCGACCAUCUCAUCAUCUUCCUCAACCCAAGCCCUCUUCCUCUGCCCUAGCGUCGACCGCCUCUUCCUCUGCCCUAGCUCCUGAUCCACCGCCGAUCGAGAUCUCUCCACUGUCACCUACUCAGCCGACCACCGUCUAGUGUCGAGCCUUCCUCUCUCGAUGCUCUUGGUUUAUCCUUGCCUCACAUCGCCAAUCUCUACAGUCGCCUGACCUAGGCUUGGUGGGAGAAGAAGAGGAAGAGAGAUCAAUGUCUCUACUGUGGAUCCGAGCAUCACCAUUUGAGAGUGACUCACAACUCCGACCACAAUUUUCAGCUGCAAAGUCUUUGGCAGCUAUAUCUUCCAGCAGUUGUCUCUGGUAGUAGGAUAAGGGGUCUUUGGUUUUGGUGGCUUCGUGGUAGCUUAGGCCACAGGUUUUCUGGCAGUAACCAUCCUCAACUGUGAAUCAACCGUAAGGCUCUAGAUUCAGGAUUUUUAUUCGAGAUGUGUGUCUCGAUGUGAGAUUUAUUUUGGAUACGAUCUUCAUUUUGAGGUAGUAGGUAGAUGAAUCAAGGAUGCUCGGAGAGUCCUAGCUGCCAGUCCCACUACACAUUCAAGGACAGUUUUCCUUUCAAUUUUAUUACUGUUUGGGUGGUAUAUUGAUUUUGCGUAUUUGUUUUCUAAUAAGUUGAUGUGGGUUUGGAGUCUAGUCUGGUGGUUGCAGGUAUUUUGAUUAAUGACUUUGUUGGUCUUACAUUCA